CUGACCGGAUCGUUUGUGAAAAGGUUGAAGGACAACCUCUUGCCAGUGACUCCUCUGAGACUGAGAUGUCCAGAACUACAGAACAGAUUCCCCAGGGAUCUCCAUGCUCCCAGAUGCAGGUUGAAGGACAACCUCUUGCCAGUGA